UUUCCGUAGGUGAACCUGCGGAAGGAUCAUUGUCAAAACCUGCCCAGCAGAACGACCCGCGAACCUGUAUAAACAACUGGGGGCGGGGGGCGUUCUCGCCCCGUGCCCCCGAACGGCGUGGAGACACUCGUGCCUUCUUGCCGAACAACGAACCCCGGCGCGGUCUGCGCCAAGGAACUUCAACUAAAGAGUGCCUCCGGUCGCCUCGGAAACGGCGUGCGUGACGGAGGCGAAUCUUGUGCAAAACCAUAACGACUCUUGGCAACGGAUAUCUCGGCUCUC
rnacentral:misc_RNA from 1 species